rnacentral:pre_miRNA from 12 species
ACAGAAAUCACCCAGGAAUCUUGUUAAAAUGCAGAUUCUGAUUCAGUAGGGCUGGCACGGGGCCCAGAUUCUGCAUUUCUAACAAGCUUCCAGGUGAUUAGAAU